GGGUUUUUAACCCUAGUGGCGGACGGGUGAGUAACACGUGAUAUUUUGCCUUUAGGAGGGGUAUAACAAUCGGAAACGAAUGCUAAUACCCCAUAUGCUUUUGAGUAAAAUGGAUCUAUCCGCCUAAAGAGAAGCUCGCGGCUGAUUAGCUUGUUGGUGAGGUAAGAGCUUACCAAGGCGACGAUCAGUAUCUGGUUUGAGAGGACGAUCAGACACACUGGAACUGAGACACGGUCCAGACUCCUACGGGAGGCAGCAGUGGGGAAUUUUCCGCAAUGGGCGAAAGCCUGACGGAGCAAUACCGCGUGAGGGAAGACUGCCUAUGGGUUGUAAACCUCUUUUUUCAGGGAGGAACAAAAUGACGUGUACCUGAAGAAUAAGCAUCGGCUAACUCCGUGCCAGCAGCCGCGGUAAGACGGAGGAUGCAAGUGUUAUCCGGAAUCACUGGGCGUAAAGCGUCUGUAGGUGGUUUAAUAAGUCAACUGUUAAAUCUUGAGGCU
rnacentral:rRNA from 1 species